CGGGCUGAUGCACGUUCUCGAUGCAGGUGAAGAGCGAUGCCCCGCGGCCGGGACAACGUGGUGCUGUGCUUGUUCCCAGCGGCGCGAGUUCCCCUGGGUCGCUGCAUGGACUGCGCCGCAGCGGGGUGAUGUGAGUGCAAAGGAAGACCCACGAGCAUCCAGAAUGGCAGACCUGUCUCAGGGGCCUCCCGCAGUGACGCCUAUGAACAGGGACUCGCCAGCUUCGAGUGAACAAUUCCCAGGAAACCCGGGAGAGCGUUUGGGGGAGGGCUGGGGGGACCCCGCGGGCCCCUGCCCGUUGGACAGCCCACACCCUGAGCCGCCGGUGGCCGGGCCGGCCCUCGGGGUGGAAGGCACUAAACCCGGGAGAGACACGAGUCGAAUCUCUGAACACACUGAAGCCUUUGUCAGACUUAAAAGCUGCCCCUUAGAGACGGGUUUCAGUUCAUGCCGAAACUUUCCAAAUGAUAGAUACUCUACCUCAUUGGGCCAAACACAAACGUCAGGAAUUACACAUUUUCCUUUCGUACACGGGGAAAUCAAAGUGAGACAUUUUAUUUGAAGUCUGCCUUUUCUCAGCACACGGUUUAUCUUCCCUUCCUCUGAAACACUGAACCGUCCUCACCUUCCCCUCUCUUAAAGUCAGAACGUUUGAGCCUCUCCCCCCGGGGUCCUGCCGAAUUAAACCGAACAACCCAGAAACGCUGUUUUCAGUCACCGACACUGUUCCUUCAGCGUUCUCCCUGCGCAGGAAACUUCUCUGCUCUCCUUUCAAUUUCUGAGGCGCACGUUUUAUCUCUGUACUUGUCCUGAAAUUUAAAUGGCAAUGGAACCAUCGCUUUGACCACAAAUUCAAUGCUAUCGAUGUUUCCUUUCCAGUUUUUCUUUCAUGUCUAAAGGUCACCAGGGGAGACUCUGUGCCAACCGAGCCGUCGCUCUGACUUCGGCUUUCCCGUGACCGGCUGUGAGGUUGGCCACCUGCGAGUUUGGGGGGCAGACCCCCCUGCUCUCAUUCACCUCGUGUCUGACACCAGUGGGGAGUCUGGGCGUCUUAGAAGGACCUCCCCGCACCCAGCUCUGUUCAAAGCUGUUUUCUGUCACAGAGAAAGGAUGCAGGUCAGGGUCACCCAGGGGAGGAGGCCCGUGGGACAGAGGGCGGGAGAGUGACUGGUGGGGCCUCCGGGCCCUCUCCCCGGGGGGUCAGGACAGGGCUGCCUUCUCUGCACAGAUGCGUGGUGACGCCCGCAGCCCACUGAGACCCCCGAGCUCUCAUGGGCAGACACUCUGUUGGUGUGGGCCCAGCCUCUGACCCCGGGCAGGUCAGGCGGGUACCGUGUGACCCAGCAUCCCUGCCACACCCUGCAACUUCUGCUGGCUGGCCCACGUCCCCGGCCAACAGAGACGCCCUGACCAGGCUUGACAUUUGGAGGGCUGGGAGGUGACCUCCCUGCAGCUGAGGACGAAGGUCAGACCUCUUUUUGGGCACUUAAAUUCUUUCCUGCGCACUCAUUUAUUCAAGCAAUAUUAGAGCACAGUGUGACUCAUUUUGUGCUGGGAAUACACGUACUUACAAUUCUUAUAAUAAUACUUCCUAAUUUCGAGAGACGUGCUCCAGUUCGGGGAGACCAGUGAGGAAGCAGAUGUAUAAACAAACCACAGGACCCACUAAACGCGCAGUGGAGGCAGGAAGGAGGGGAUCCCAGGCCAGCGAGCCCGGGCGGGACCCCAGCUGGGGAGGGCGCCUGGCAGGGGGGACCCCGAGCCCCCGUGAGCGACUGCGGCCUGCUGGGAGGGCCGCUGACUCUUCUCGGCCUCGGUGUCUUGUAACCUCUCAGAAGUUCCUCAUGUUUCGGUUUCCUUCCUGGGUCCCAUUUCCGAGCCACCGCCCACCCGGGGACCCUGCUUCCCUCCCAGCAGGGACACCUGAGUGUGGCCUGGCCCCCCUCGGCCUGCGGGGAAAGGGACUGCACUUACCGGAAGAGGACUCGUUUCAGUGAAGGGAAGAGGAAGACCCAGCGCAGGGCCCGGCGCUCACGGGGUGCGGCGCAGCCGGCGGGGGUCCCGGGCGCUGGUCUGCGUGUGCGGUGGGUGCCAGAGGGUCUCAGCGACCUCAGGGCACCCUGUGUGCGCGUGUCCUCAGGGGAGCGGGCGACCGACGUCCCUGUGUUUCAGGCCUCAGAAUGUCACCAGUGUCAGAGAAGAAAUUCAGCGCUAUGACAGCAAGCUUCUCCCGUGCAGAGGUGCCCCUCACUCGGCCUCCAGGCCCGGGUCAGAGCUGACCUGUGCGCGGUCGUGCCCCUGGUCAGAGAGCUGGUUUCCCCCUUCCCCUCCCUCCUUAAUUUUGUCAGAGCAGGUUCAAGUCCAACAGUCUCAGGCUGAGAAUGAUGGAAGCCCCCCGAGCAGACCCCCAGAGCCAGCGCACACCGGGAGCUGUGCCGAGACGUGAGAUGGCCCCGGCGUUCCUGCCGCUUUUUGUGUGAAACCGUCUUGCACCCCACAUAGCAGUGAGCUCACAGUUCGCAGCUUCCUCUGUCGGCCCGGUGUCGCUCAGCGUGAGUCUCGAGUCCGUCCCUGUUGUCGCGGGGGCCGUCUCCCAUCCUUCCUUGUGGCCGAGGAGCGUCCAUCGUAUACGCGCAGUGUCUUCUUCACCGAGUCCCGUGUCGAAGGGCACUUGGUGGUCUCCGCGUCUCGACCCCCGUGAACGAUGCUUCUACAUCGCGAGGUUUGUUGUGACCUCCAAAGACAGCUCGUCUUUCUUCAACAACAAGCGUGGGACGUUUACACAGUGGAAUACUACGCAGCCGUAAAAAGGAGGAAACCUUGCCCUUUGCGACAGCGUGGAUGCGCCUGGAGAGCAUUACGCCACGUGCAGCAAGCCAGUCAGAGGAAGACAACCACCGCGGGCUCUCGGUCACGUGUGCAGUCUGAUGGUGCGGGGCUGACACCCUGCCUCCUGCCUCCUGACGGCCCCCCUUCCCUCCAGAAUGCUGGGGGCCCACCCGGAGGCCGAGCGGCCAGCAGACACCAGCUGCCCUGGGGACGCACAGGCGGGGACCGACCCCGGGAAGACAGCCCAACACCCCCAGGAAGGUGGCAGGGCCGAGGAG